rnacentral:ncRNA from 1 species
UCAACCAAGCAUGGAUAAACAACAUGAGUAACUAUGACUAUAUUAAGGUAGUCAUAUGCCUCGUCAUCUAAUUAGUGACGUGCAUGAAUGGAUAAUUAACGAGAUUCCACACUGUCCCUUGCUACUAUAUUAUAGAGAAACCACAUCCAAGGGAAUGGGCUUGGCAGAAUUAGUGAGGAAAUAAGACCCCCAUGUUGAGCUUGACUCUAGUCCUAACCCAUUCAUAGUUUGGGAAAAUUAGGGAAAAUUUUGGGAAAAUUAGACCAUAGCAUUUGUCUUUGGGAGUCAAACUGGUGAUGGAAACAAGUGGGUGUGUGAGUCAAAUUUGAGUCUAGAAACCCUCCCAUAUCGUUAAGGCAUGCAAAUAGUCUAUCUACGAUCAUGAUGGUAUAAAAAUGAAUGAGCUUCUCUUGGUUUCAAUAAUUAUUUAUCCUCUAUUGAACAAGGCCAA